rnacentral:rRNA from 1 species
UACGUAGGGUGCAAGCGUUAAUCGGAAUUACUGGGCGUAAAGAGUGCGCAGGCGGUGCUGUAAGACAGGUGUGAAAUCCCCGGGCUUAACCUGGGAACUGCAUUUGUGACUGCAUUGCUGGAGUGCGGCAGAGGGGGAUGGAAUUCCGCGUGUAGCAGUGAAAUGCGUAGAUAUGCGGAGGAACACCGAUGGCGAAGGCAAUCCCCUGGGCCUGCACUGACGCUCAUGCACGAAAGCGUGGGGAGCAAACAGG